rnacentral:rRNA from 1 species
AGUGAACGCUGGCGGUAGGCCUAACACAUGCAAGUCGAACGGCAGCACAGUAAGAGCUUGCUCUUACGGGUGGCGAGUGGCGGACGGGUGAGGAAUACAUCGGAAUCUACUUUUUCGUGGGGGAUAACGUAGGGAAACUUACGCUAAUACCGCAUACGACCUACGGGUGAAAGCAGGGGAUCUUCGGACCUUGCGCGAUUGAAUGAGCCGAUGUCGGAUUAGCUAGUUGGCGGGGCAAAGGCCCACCAAGGCGACGAUCCGUAGCUGGUCUGAGAGGAUGAUCAGCCACACUGGAACUGAGACACGGUCCAGACUCCUACGGGAGGCAGCAGUGGGGAAUAUUGGACAAUGGGCGCAAGCCUGAUCCAGCCAUACCGCGUGGGUGAAGAAGGCCUUCAGGUUGUAAAGCCCUUUUGUUGGGAAAGAAAAGCAGCAGGUUAAUACCCCGCUGUUCUGACGGUACCCAAAGAAUAAGCACCGGCUAACUUCGUG